ensembl:lncRNA LINC02207 long intergenic non-protein coding RNA 2207
GCCAGCCUGGGAGUCAUCUUCACCCUCAGGCUGGUAGACUCCAGUCUCUUAGGUCAGAAUGGGAUUAGAGACCCGUUCCUGAACCAGUCACACACAGCGGGUGAAACUGCUAUGAUUGGUUUAGACUUAGAGACUGGAAUGGAUGCUGCCCAUGAAAGCAUAAAAAGUGACCAGAAACAUCAGCAAAAUUCUGAAAACAACAUCUCAUUGCUGUUUCUGUUUGGAGACGUGUAGAUGUUGACAACAAAAAUAUCCAUGAAAGUACAAGCCUCCCAGCUCCAUCACAUGUCCAAGACUCACUGGAAGUGAGGAGAACCUUUGAGGCCUAGAAGCGAAGACACAUAGAAGCAAUGUGUACCUAGACUGUUGUCCUAAAUGCCAUUUCCUACCAGGAAGGAACCAGAGUCUUUGCAGAAAUGUAUCAUUUCACAUCUGGUCCCCAGAUAGCAGAUGACUGGUAGGAAGAUGAGGCAAGUUUGCGGUCCAUUGUCAUGGAUAGUGGAGACAACACUGGGCCAGAAGUGGUAAGACCUGAAUCCAAGACUCAGCUCUGCCACUUGCUAAAUGGGACUUUGAAUAAACCAUUUCUCUGCACUUAAGUUCCUUACCAACAAAACGAGGGAAGUGGCCUACAUGCCUAGAUAUCAACAUUUCAUGUCACGUAGAGAUCUAGCAUCACAAGAAUCCAAGUCAUCCUCUGUUGCCUUUAAGAAAUUAGAAUUAAAGGAAUCAGAAUUGAAGUGAAUCUGACUACACUAAGCCUAUCACUUGUGACAGCCAUGGGAAGAUAUCAUUGGUUGCUGAGGAGCAGAAAUAAGCAGAGACCUAUUGUGUUAGGUUAUCAUUCAUUUCAGUAACAGAAAUAAUCUAUUCAGAGUCAUGGAAAAAACAGAGUGGGCUGUUGGAAUUGGAAAGAAACAAACAAAAAGCAGAUCAGCAAGUUUUCAUAUUGCACUAUUUUCAAUGGCUGGAGCAUCAACAUUUUACAACAAGAAAAAAAUUAAAAUUCUUCAACAUUUGGAAAAGAAGUGUUUGUAAAACUUUUCACAUCCAUUCACCAUCCGGAAAAGCAAGGUUUUACAGUGAGGCCUGAUGAUGUCUAGAGUCACCAUGCAUCUUGGAAAAUGACCUCCUAUUUAUUUCUUCUACAGGACACCAUGGUGUUCACCUUUCUACAACUUUACACUUGCUGAGGACAUAUUGUGGAAAAUUAAGAGAAAUAUAUAUGGAUGGCCAAGGCUGUAGAUGGA